rnacentral:rRNA from 1 species
AUUGAACGCUGGCGGCAGGCCUAACACAUGCAAGUCGAACGAGUGGCGGACGGGUGAGUCAUGUCUGGGAAACUGCCUGAUGGAGGGGGAUAACUACUGGAAACGGUAGCUAAUACCGCAUACCAUCAGAUGUGCCAAGAGGGGAGUAGCUAGUUGGUGGGGUAACGGCUCACCAAGUCGACGAUCCCUAGCUGGUCUGAGAGGAUGACCAGACCCACUGGAACUGAGACACUGUCCAGACGCCUACGGGAGGCAGCAGUGGGGAAUAUUGCACAAUGGGCGCAAGCCUGAUGCAGCCAUGCCGCGUGUAUGAAGAAGGCCUUCGGGUUGUAAAGUACUUUCAGUGGGGAGGCGUUACCCGCAGAAGAAGCACCGGCUAACUCCGUGCCAGCAGCCGCGGUAAUUC